rnacentral:rRNA from 1 species
GAUGAACGCUGGCGGCGUGCCUAAUACAUGCAAGUCGAGCGAAUGGAUUAAGAGCUUGCUCUUAUGAAGUUAGCGGCGGACGGGUGAGUAACACGUGGGUAACCUGCCCAUAAGACUGGGAUAACUCCGGGAAACCGGGGCUAAUACCGGAUACCAUUUUGAACCGCAUGGUUCGAAAUUGAAAGGCGGCUUCGGCGGUCACUUAUGGAUGGACCCGCGUCGCAUUAGCUAGUUGGUGAGGUAACGGCUCAACAAUGCAACGAUGCGGAGCCGACCUGAGAGGGUGAUCGGCCACACUGGGACUGAGACACGGCCCAGACUCCUACGGGAGGCAGCAGUAGGGAAUCUUCCGCAAUGGACGAAAGUCUGACGGAGCAACGCCGCGUGAGUGAUGAAGGCUUUCGGGUCGUAAAACUCUGUUGUUAGGGAAGAACAAGUGCUAGUUGAAUAAGCUGGCACCUUGACGGUACCUAACCAGAAAGCCACGGCUAACUACGUGCCAGCCGCCGCCGUAA